AAGCCGCCUGCACUCGCGGCGGCGACGGCGGCUGCCUCGGCAGCGCCCAGAGCUGCGCCCGGCGGACCCAGAUGCCCCGGGAGGCCGACAGCCCGGCUGCCCGCCGGGGCUCCCAGGCGGCGGCGGCGGCGACGGCGGCAGCGGUGGCGCUUGGCAGAAGCCGCUUCCCUCUGAUGGGGGAUGGGCACUGCAGUGGCACCUCCGGUUCAUUUUCCUGUGGACCAAGAGCUGAAUGCAGGCUUCAGAACCCAAACUCAGUUUCCUUUGUGGUGGAUCUGAUUGGAAUCUGGAAAGAUCUGGAGGAGGGACUUUGGCAUGGUUGACCCAGGCAUUCACCAGGAUUCCACCCAGUGCCACUUAGGAGCUUCGAUGUGACAGCCUCAGUCACCCUUCCUUUCCCCAGAGAUCUGAUUUUCCCUUUCAGCCUGGCCUCCACUCCCAAAGACCCAUCAUCCAUCUAAGGAAGAAAACACUUUGUUGCGUGGCGUAGUCUUUCUAAGAACCUCAGCAGUCGGGAGGGAUGGCCAGUUUCAGGUGAAAACAGUUACCUCCACUUUCAAAUUUACACAAUAAGUGGAAUUAGACCAUCAAGCCAGUGCCCCAAAGGAGACCUUGGUUUGAUGAGCACUGGAGAUCAGAACAACCCACUGUUGUUUGAAUUGGAUUGGCUCUCAAGUAACUUGAUUGGUACCCCACACACAGUAGGCUUUUCAAACGUACUUCUUUGUUUUUGAUGUGCUUUAUGGGGGCUGGACAUUAAUUUGUUGUCCUGUGAAGAUUAAAUGUUCCAGAGCAAUUUUGUCCCUGCUGCGAAUUAACUAAGAAAAUAAUUUUUUCAGUAAAGAGUUCAAAGGCUAAAUUCUAGCUCAGCCCUUCUGAGACAGUAGGUUCUAGUUAGUGACACUUCAUUGUGCUGUUUUCUGUUCCAUCCGUCUAUCCUCCAAAGCACUUAUUGUUGUUUAAAAACUAACCCAGAUCCUUCGGUUCUUUAUUUAGACUGGGUAGAUUUGACUGAAAAGCAAAAAAAGGGAAUGAAAGUCAAACCAUGUUUAAGAAUGGAUUCGUGGACCUGUUUAUGGAUGAUCUACUGGGUGAAGAUGAGAUGAGAUGGUGGGGGGAGAGAUAUUUCAUAGUUGCUCUCCAUACCCCUCCAAGACUUUUGCAGUCCAGUGAGGGAAAGAUGAGAAGCAUAGAAAAGAAUUAAAAGGGGAUGGUAAAACUCAUAAAUUCCCAUGAAACUAUAGAUUAAUGUUGUACACUUUAAACAACCCAUGCCCUCUUUUGAAAAUAUAACAACUUCAUGUUCUCCUUU